rnacentral:rRNA from 1 species
AGUGAACGCUGGCGGUAGGCCUAACACAUGCAAGUCGAACGGCAGCACAGUAAGAGUUUGCUCUUACGGGUGGCGAGUGGCGGACGGGUGAGGCAUACAUCGGAAUCUACUUUUUCGUGGGGGAUAACGUAGGGAAACUUACGCUAAUACCGCAUACGUCCUACGGGUGAAAGCAGGGGAUCUUCGGACCUUGCGCGUUUGAAUGAGACGAUGUCGGAUUAGCUAGUUGGCGGGGUAAAGGCCCACCAAGGCGACGAUCCGUAGCCGGCCUGAGAGGAUGAUCAGCCACACUGGAACUGAGACACGGUCCAGACUCCUACGGGAGGCAGCAGUGGGGAAUAUUGGACAAUGGGCGCAAGCCUGAUCCAGCCACACCGCGUGGGUGAAGAAGGCCUUCGGGUUGUAAAGCCCUGUUGUUGGGAAAGAAAAGCAGCAGGUUAAUACCCCGCUGUUCUGACGGUACCCAAAGAAUAAGCACCGGCUAACUUCGUG